GAUAAACGCUGGCGGCAUGCCUAAUACAUGCAAGUCGAACGGGGUUAAUGAUGCUUGCAUCAUUAACCUAGUGGCGAACGGGUGAGUAACACGUAGUUAACCUACCCAUUGGACUGGGACAACUUUUGGAAACGAAAGCUAAUACCGGAUAGGAAGCAAUUUUAAAGGAGCGUGUGCUCCGCCAAUGGAAGGGACUGCGUCUGAUUAGCUAGUUGGUAGGGUAAGAGCCUACCAAGGCAACGAUCGGUAGCCGGACUGAGAGGUUGAACGGCCACACUGGGACUGAGACACGGCCCAGACUCCUACGGGA
rnacentral:rRNA from 1 species